CAGAGGGUGCGAGCGUUGUCCGGAAUCACUGGGCGUAAAGGGCGCGUAGGUGGCCCGACAAGUCAGUGGUGAAAGCUCGAUGCUCAACAUCGAGUCGGCCACUGAUACUGUUGGGCUGGAGCACUGUAGAGGCUCAUGGAAUUCCGGGUGUAGCGGUGGAAUGCGUAGAGAUCCGGAAGAACACCGGUGGCGAAGGCGGUGAGCUGGGCAGUUGCUGACACUGAGGCGCGACAGCGUGGGGAGCAAACAGGAUUAGAUACCCUGGUAGUCCACGCCGUAAACGAUGGGCACUAGAUGCUUGGGGGAGCGACCCCCUGAGUGUCGACGCUAACGCAUUAAGUGCCCCGCCUGGGGAGUACGGCCGCAAGGCUG
rnacentral:rRNA from 1 species